rnacentral:rRNA from 1 species
UACGUAGGGUGCAAGCGUUAAUCGGAAUUACUGGGCGUAAAGCGUGCGCAGGCGGUUUUGUAAGUCUGAUGUGAAAUCCCCGGGCUCAACCUGGGAAUUGCAUUGGAGACUGCAAGGCUAGAAUCUGGCAGAGGGGGGUAGAAUUCCACGUGUGAGCAGUGAAAUGCGUAGAGAUGUGGAGGAACACCGAUGGCGAAGGCAGCCCCCUGGGUCAAGAUUGACGCUCAUGCACGAAAGCGUGGGGAGCAACAGGAU